rnacentral:rRNA from 1 species
CCUACGGGGUGCAGCAGUGGGGGAUAUUGCACAAUGGGGGAAACCCUGAUGCAGCGACGCCGCGUGUGGGAAGACGGUCCUCUGGAUUGUAAACCACUGUCCCCAGGGACGAAGAUGCCGGUACCUGGUGAGGAAGCUCCGGCUAACUACGUGCCAGCAGCCGCGGUAAUACGUAGGGAGCGAGCGUUGUCCGGAAUUACUGGGUGUAAAGGGAGUGUAGGCGGGACUGCAAGUUGGGUGUCAAAUCUACCGGCUCAACCGGUAGCCGCACUCAAAACUGCAGUUCUGGAGUGAAGUAGAGGCAGGCGGAAUUCCUAGUGUAGCGGUGAAAUGCGUAGAUAUUAGGAGGAACACCAGUGGCGAAGGCGGCCUGCUGGGCUGUUACUGACGCUGAGGCUCGAAAGUGUGGGGAGCAAACAGGAUUAGAUACCCGGGUAGUC